GACGUAGGAGGCGAGCUUUGUCCGGAUUCAUUGGGCGUAAAGAGCGCGCAGGCGGCUUGGUAAGUCGGAUGUGAAAUCCCGAGGCUCAACCUCGGGUCUGCAUCCGAUACUGCCCGGCUAGAGGUAGGUAGGGGAGAUCGGAAUUCCUGGUGUAGCGGUGAAAUGCGCAGAUAUCAGGAGGAACACCGGUGGCGAAGGCGGAUCUCUGGGCCUUACCUGACGCUCAGGCGCGAAAGCUAGGGGAGCGAACUGG
rnacentral:rRNA from 1 species